rnacentral:rRNA from 1 species
AGCGACGUCAAAGCGUAUACAAAGUCGAGUCGGUUUAAGGAUACGUUCGUUGGGUAGGGGAGCGUUCUGUAAGCCUGUGAAGGUGUGUCGUGAGGCAUGCUGGAGGUAUCAGAAGUGCGAAUGCUGACAUAAGUAACGAUAAAGCGGGUGAAAAGCCCGCUCGCCGGAAGACCAAGGGUUCCUGUCCAACGUUAAUCGGGGCAGGGUGAGUCGACCCCUAAGGCGAGGCCGAAAGGCGUAGUCGAUGGGAAACGGGUUAAUAUUCCCGUACUUGGUGUUACUGCGAAGGGGGGACGGAGAAGGCUAUGUUGGCCGGGCGACGGUUGUCCCGGUUUAAGCGUGUAGGUGUGUGUUCCAGGUAAAUCCGGUUCACUUUAACACUGAGGCGUGACGACGAGGCACUACGGUGCUGAAGCAACAAAUGCCCUGCUUCCAGGAAAAGCCUCUAAGCAUCAGGUAACAUCAAAUCGUACCCCAAACCGACACAGGUGGUCAGGUAGAGAAUACCAAGGCGCUUGAGAGAACUCGGGUGAAGGAACUAGGCAAAAUGGUGCCGUAACUUCGGGAGAAGGCACGCUGACACGUAGGUGAAGUGAUUUACUCAUGGAGCUGAAGUCAGUCGAAGAUACCAGCUGGCUGCAACUGUUUAUUAAAAACACAGCACUGUGCAAACACGAAAGUGGACGUAUACGGUGUGACGCCUGCCCGGUGCCGGAAGGUUAAUUGAUGGGGUCAGCGCAAGCGAAGCUCCUGAUCGAAGCCCCGGUAAACGGCGGCCGUAACUAUAACGGUCCUAAGGUAGCGAAAUUCCUUGUCGGGUAAGUUCCGACCUGCACGAAUGGCGUAAUGAUGGCCAGGCUGUCUCCACCCGAGACUCAGUGAAAUUGAACUCGCUGUGAAGAUGCAGUGUACCCGCGGCAAGACGGAAAGACCCCGUGAACCUUUACUAUAGCUUGACACUGAACAUUGAGCCUUGAUGUGUAG